AACGCUGGCGGCAUGCCUUACACAUGCAAGUCGAACGGCAGCGGGGGAAAGCUUGCUUUCCUGCCGGCGAGUGGCGAACGGGUGAGUAAUACAUCGGAACGUGCCCUGUAGUGGGGGAUAACUAGUCGAAAGAUUAGCUAAUACCGCAUACGACCUGAGGGUGAAAGUGGGGGACCGCAAGGCCUCAUGCUAUAGGAGCGGCCGAUGUCUGAUUAGCUAGUUGGUGGGGUAAAGGCCUACCAAGGCGACGAUCAGUAGCUGGUCUGAGAGGACGAUCAGCCACACUGGGACUGAGACACGGCCCAGACUCCUACGGGAGGCAGCAGUGGGGAAUUUUGGACAAUGGGCGAAAGCCUGAUCCAGCAAUGCCGCGUGUGUGAAGAAGGC
rnacentral:rRNA from 1 species